CCUACGGGUGGCAGCAGUGAGGAAUAUUGGUCAAUGGGCGGAAGCCUGAACCAGCCAAGUAGCGUGCAGGAUGACGGCCCUACGGGUUGUAAACUUCUUUUAUCAGGGACGAAACAAAUGACGGUACCUGAUGAAUAAGCCACGGCUAACUACGUGCCAGCAGCCGCGGUAAUACGUAGGUGGCAAGCGUUAUCCGGAUUUACUGGGUGUAAAGGGCGUGUAGGGGGGCUUGCAAGUCAGAUGUGAAAUUCCAGGGCUCAACCCUGGAACUGCAUUUGAAACUGUAGGUCUUGAGUGCUGGAGAGGCAAUCGGAAUUCCGUGUGUAGCGGUGAAAUGCGUAGAUAUACGGAGGAACACCAGUGGCGAAGGCGGAUUGCUGGACAGUAACUGACGCUGAGGCGCGAAAGCGUGGGGAGCAAACAGGAUUAGAUACCCUUGUAGUC
rnacentral:rRNA from 1 species